CCAUGAUAGGGUAAAUACAAGGGCUUACACAAAAAAAUCAAGGCAUAAGUAUAGAAAUUAUUUCUCUUUUAUGGUUGGUGGGUGACUGUUAAAGAUCUAUAACAGGGACACCACACACCUAUGGAAUUAGAUAUUUGAUCAAGACACAUGUAAUACUUAUUUUUAAUCAGGAUAGAGAGUGGAACACAUGCACUUUUAACAGUGGUACAUCACUGAAGGUACUUGCUCUUGCAAGUGGCAGAUGAUCUAAAACAAGGAAUAUAUUAGUUUAUCCAACUACUCUUCAGGAGUUAACUGGCUUUGAGUUUAGCUUGAUGCAGAGGUCACAUGAUGUCAUCAGGAGAUUUAUCUGUCUCUGUUUUUGGACUCCACUCCCUUAGGAUUGGCCCAUAUAGCUGUAAGUUGGCCAGAGGUGCUGCCCUAUAUCCUCUCUUGUUCAUGUCCUGCUAGGGGAUUGGGAAAGCAGGCAGGGUGACAUAGAUCAGUGUCCUGAAAGGUCAAACAAAAACUUGAGUAAUAUCAGUCCUUAAAGGCCCAUUCCCAAACUAACCUUUGUGGUGAGGAUGAAAGAAUAACCUGAUUGUUUUAGCUUAGGCCAUGGGGCCUAUCCAUCCAACAGAGGAAUUACAUAAACUUUGUCCAAAACAUUUGAGCUAAAAUUGGGUUGGGUGAUUAGUCCCUAGAUUAGGGUAAAAAAAUGAUUUAAUGGAGUAGCUACAACAUUAAAAAACAAAUAUAAGAAUUAUCUUCAAGAAGAAGUCAUUUCUAGAUAGAGGAAAUAUAGGUGAUAUGAUUUUAAAAUUUUUAUUUACAGAUAACUUUUUUAGUGUCAUCUGUAGAGAGAAUACUUAAGUAUUUUAAAAAAGCAACUCAACAUAGAAUAAUGCAAUGUGAUCAACAAAAGCAAAUGAAAUUGCAGGUUUCAUUAAUUAAAACAUAACGUCACCUCUACUUUGUAGUUUUAGAAUUACGCUUGGACAACAGUCUUUAAUUUUAAUAAAGAUAGCUUGAAACAAACCGGAUUAUAUUCAGGAGAGAGUAUUUCAGAAAUGUGGAUGUGUAACAUGGAAGUGAGGAAACAUCAAAGCCAUGUUCCUAACUUUGAUCUAUUCUCCUAUUUAGGUGGUGUAGACUUACUUUUUAUUAUCGUUAAGAAUGAAGACUCCAUGGUGGAAGUUAGAAGUAGACAAUGUGGGAUGUUCAAGAUUAUAUGGGGAAUCUUAUAAGUCAGUGAACGCUACCAUUUGAAGUUUUCAAACAGAAGAGUGGGUAUCUUUCUUGAGUUUGUGGAGGUAAUCCUGUAAGAAGAAGGGUUACGUUACAUUUAAGAGGACUUAUAAGCUUCUACUUUUUCAAAAUUAAACAUGUGGCUAAAUGAAACUGAUAUCUAGAUUAUUUAAACUUUGAAAUGAUGUUAUUAUUAUUAUUGUUAUUAUUGUCUUAAAUUUAGCCACUUGUCUAACUCUUCUAGAAGGUUAGUUAUUUUUUUUUUUUUAAAAAGUGGUAUGGUCAAGAGUUUAUUCCAGGAAGUAAGACCAUAGUAAAUGUUCACUAUCUGUAACCUCAAUUUACACCAUCUCUCCUGACUACCUAUUCCAGCAAAAAAUAUCACUGUGAACCUAAUAAUAGUAUGUUUUAUUGAUGUCUGCAUAAACCAAAGGCACUAAAAAAAAUAAAAUUUAUUACAUGUGUGGAAUAAUGAUUAAUUGUCUUCAGGGCAAAGAAAUAUCUUGAGACAUCUCAGUAGAAAAACCCCAUAGACAAUAAACCUAAGGUAGGAGAGAAAGUUUAAUAAUUAUUUGUAGUGCAAAAAAUAGGGAAAAGCAAUUUGGACAGCAAGUUUCUAGACUGGAAAAUAAGGAUUUUGAUUAUUUUUUAGAAAGUUUGUUUGUCGUAGGUAGUUAAAGGAGGCUUGAGAAGCACAUGUAAUGUAAUACUUCUGUAAUUAAAAACAGUAUUUUUCAAAAAAUAAUGUGUCAGUAUAAAAAAAUUAAGUAAUUUUGUUAGUCACUUGCUCAUAUCCUGUUAGCUAUAUUAAUUUUAAGAUAUAAGGUCAAAAUGUUGAAGUAGCUAAAGGUAACAGAUGAAGUAGCUAAUGCUAAAAUACACCAGAAGAAAAGGCACGUAAAAUAAUUGUCUUGAAAGAUACCAUGCUGAUGUAGAGGUGAGAACGUAUGGUUACAUAAAUCAGAGGACAAAGAAGAAAAUACAGCAUGGCUCGAACAUGUGAUACAAGCCCAUCAGUGGAAUAUGGUUAACUACUUGGGCUGUCUUCCCUCUAAAAACAUGUAUAGACACCAGCAUUCCCAGGAAGUAGUACUACUUAUCAUUGCUCCACUAUGCUACUCAUGCAGCAGGGCUCAGUGGACGUUUGUGACUUAAUCAUAAGUAGUUUUUUGAAAGAAUGCCUGGUGACUCAAUUACGUUUUAGAAAAGGAAUCCUAAAAGUUCACUCUCUCUUUUCUGAGACUACUCUCUCCAAAUUAUUCCUUUUUAAAACUCUCCUUUACUUUUUUUACCCUUCUUCUCCAUUAGCCAAAUUCCUUGCUUCCUAUUUUUCUCAGAAAAUAAAAAUUAGAAGAGAUCUUCCAUAAUCUCUAACCAUCAAAUCCAAUAAUGUACUUCAUCUAUUUCUUUACAUUCCUUACAUUCUCUGCCUUCUUGGGAGAAUACAGCACAAUACAAUGGUUACAAUGUUCAUAUUCCAGGAAACAUCCUUCCACUGGUGCACAGGUUGCUUUCCUCACCUGCUAACUACGGAGCAUCACUCCUGCAAUUCUCAUCUCUGCAAAUUCGUUUUGAUUUCUGUGGUCAUUCUUAGCAGCAUAAAAUGAGCUAUAUCAUAUGUGUGCAUAUGAAUGUGUGUGUGUGUGUGUGUGUGUGUGUGUGUGUGUGUAGAUAGAGCCAGAUAGAUAGAUAGAUAGAUAAAUGAUAGAUAGACAUGUUGUGUACUAUAUCAAUGUCCUAGUAUUGAUAGCACAUACUCCUCAGGUUGCUGUCUGAUGUCACAGAUCCCCUUACAGCUAAACUCCUAAUAAGAGUUGUCUACACUCUCCUUCCAGUCUCUCAUCCCUACUGUACUCAGUCUUUCAUCUCCACCACAGUUCUUGUCAACUCUCCACAUUACCACAUCCAAAGGUAAACUCCGUUCUCAAGGGCAUUUCACAGCCUACCUCUUUCUUCACUUUCCUUUUAAGCUCUCUGGUCACUCUCAUGUUUUCUUUUGCUGGGUUCCUCCCUUUCUUUCUGGAGUCUCAAACUGGAAGCACUCUAGGGCUCAAUUCUCUCUUUCUCUAUCCUCACUUCCUUGGUGACCUCAUAGUCUCGUGAGUUUAAAACCAUUCUUAUAAUAAUGACUCUCAAAUGUAUGUCUUCAACUCUGACCUCUCCCUGAACUCUGAAAUCACACACUCAUCUAUCCAAUUGCCUAUUCAUCAUCUCCAUGUAAAUACCCAGUAGACUUCUCAAAGUUAAUAUGUUUUUUUAAAACAAAAACAAACAAACAACAACAACAAAAACCUCAUGUAUACACACACACACACACACACACACACACACACACCUCUACAUCUAAAUGUGGCUCUAUACUCAAUAUUUUCCUCUUAUUAGUAGAUUAUUACAAUUUUCCCCCUGGCUUUAAUCUUUCUAGUCACACUUGACUCCUCUAUUUCUCUUCCUUAAUUCAUGAUUAAAUCCUGUCAUCUUCACCUUUGAAAUAUGUUUACUAGCUGAACUUUUCUCGCUCCCUUUAUGAACCAUCUCAGCUUUUGCAGCAUAGUCGCUUACCUCUAAAGGCAAGUUCAUACUGUAACAAUAAUAUGAUAGCCCCUGAAAAUUUCAGCAGCUUUGACAAAUGAGAAAGCUUUUUUCUUGUUCAUGCACAAGUUGGGAAAGUUGCUGUACUCAUCAUGGCUGCUUAGGCACCCAGGUUGAUGGAGGCUCUGCCUUCAUCUGUUUCCACCUUUACAGAGGCUUCCGCUUCACUCAGAGUAAAAUCUAAAGUAUCCACAACGAUGUAAAAGGCUGUUUAUCAACUGAAGGGCGAAGAUAACACCUGGGAAGCUUUCUCAUGCAGCAAAGCCGUUAGCUGAGGUCCUAAUCACACAUGCUUGCCAUUUCUAAUCAUUUGUUAUUUGAACAAAUUUCUUCCAUUUCCAAUAGAACUUACAGUUUCAGCAUUUAGAUUUCAAAAGUAUGUGCCAAAUUUAAUUCCUAUUGCAACUGAAUUUUAGCUUCACUCAAAUUUUGUCAAAAUGACAAGACAAACUAAGGUAUGAAAUCUUUAACUAAAAAAGUGCAGACAGAAAGGUAAUUGAUGCACGAAUUACUUUUUCUUGUUGAUAAAGGGCCUGUAAAAAUAUAAUGCAUCUGAAAAAAGCCAUGACUUCAACUUUGCUAUGAAAUGUUCUCUAUUGAAAGGAUUUGGCCUCGGUGAGAAGGCAUGGAUAUGUGAAUGUCAUUGUGAAAGACGCAGGGCAGAAUAACCAAUUAGGGACAGGAACUGACAGUCAGGCCGGAAGGAGUUAAAGACUGCAGGUUAGAAAACAGUUUUUUAUUCAGUUUGAUGCCUUGGUAACAUGGGGCAUAAAGUUUCCAUGUGUGCCUUCGAAUGUGGAUAGGUAGGGUAUAUAAAUACGAUGAGUUAAAAACCCAUAUUCUUGCAUAAUGAAAGACUAAAUCAACAAAAAGCUGAUAAUGAACAGUUAUAAUUUUCCUGGCAUUUCUCUUUCCUUCUUAUUCUGCUCAUUUGGUGAAUGGCCCUUCUCCUAAACUCCAACCGUGUAGCUCAAAUGGGGUUUCAAGUUUCUGUCAUUGAGCCACCUGUCACUUUCCACAUGAGUGUGGGCCUGUGACCCAAGGUGGGCCAGCGUGCUGUCCAUAGGCUUUUAAAAAAAGGACAAAAGGAAGAUGAUCUCUUUUUAUAGAUGAAAUGUAAGUGAGUUCAUGAAAUGCUAUUGGCCAUGUUUACAUCCUUAAUGUGGUAGCUAAUCUUAAAAAUAAUGCUGCCCCAUAUUAUAACACACAAAAAAUACUAAGGCAGAAGUUUAAAGGUAUUUCAAGAGUAUAAUUCAUGUAUCCCUGGGAAGUACUAUUCCCCUGACUUCCUGACAUUACAUUACAUGAUUUAAUUAUUCCUCCUUUUUGUCUAAGUUAGGUUAUGUUUGUAAUUUGUAAUUUUCAACCUAAAUAUUCUUUAGUCAAAUAAACCUCCAUAUAGGUUUAGAAUAGAUACAGCAAUUUUAAAAUUCUUGAAUAAUGAGAGUGAGAUAAGAAACUAAAUAGAAGAUUUUACAUUUGAUAAACCUCACCUUGCUGCGCAACUUCUUAUAGGGGGAAAAUAACCUCUCUGGUAAUUGUUUAAAUAUGCCUAUUAUUUGGUAGCUGGUUUAGAGACUGAACAAAUAUGUAUUUAAUGAGACUUAGGAAGAAAAAUAUAUUUGUCCAUUCAACAUUUACUUGCCAGAAAACAUUAUACUAAUGUAAAUUUAAAAAUUUUUAUAACCAAAAGCAGAGUAACUUUCAUUGGUUUUAUCUUUUGAAUAAAAUAGGAAACAAAAUUCAAAUGCUUCUUUUAAUUUUAUUCUGAGCUUUACUUCUGUUUUUAAAAUGUUUAAUGUGAAAAGAUGGCAUUUUAUAGCUGGAGUAUAAAAUUAGCAGCAUGUUUAUUCCUCCAAACUAUUAAUAAACACAGUGGGACAGCCCAAGACAAAUUAGACACUGCUACCCAUAACGCUGUUACAUUUAUUUGCUUUGCUAGUAUCUAUAGUUAGAAAAAAAUCCACUAUCCUUUAUGCUACAUAGUAAUCAAUAAUUUAUUCCUGUUAUACCUUUCCACUAUGUUUUUUCUAAUAGAGCCUUGAAAAAAACACAAAGCCUCUUCAUUAUAAUCUGUAUUUACAGUAGACUUAGGAGGUUUUAAAACAUGUUAUAGUUGUCAUUAUUGAGAUAAACCAAGGAUCAGUAGAGGUGUUUGUAAUGGGGUAGUAAGUACUGAAGACAUCAGAUGCUUUAUUUGUUAGGCCUAAGUCUUGUCCCAUAAACUUGCCCCAAAUUUUAUUUAACUAUUUUGAACUAAAUUACUCCUUAUGUAAAUUGUGAGCAACAGUGAUUUCGCACAAUAAUUUUUUGUGUGAAAUUCCCAUUGUUUUGUGGGGAACGUUUAUGUCUUUGAAUUAUCAUGAUUAAUUCAGUCCAAAUUAGUUUUUAAAAUAUGUAUUAGAUUACAUUUCUUGGAAGUCCAAUGGGAGGAAUGUUGGAUUCAGAGUUAUAAAGGAUAUUAUCAUGGCUCUCUCCAUAUACAUAUCUCUCAUAUCCCAUCAGCUUUUCUGCUUAGUUAAGGCUUUGGGUAAAAACUCUAUACCUGGUAACAAGAUUGCUUCCAUAAACGCCAGAGUUACAAAGUCAUUAAGCACUGAACUCCAAGGAAAAGACACACUGGACUCAAAACUGUAUUUUUUGUUUUUAGAGAUGGGAUCUUUCUCUGUAGGUUGAGAUGUAGUGGUGCUAUCACAGCUUCUGCAGCUUCAAAGCCCUAGGCUCCAGCAAUCCUCUUAUCUCAGGGGACUGAGCUGCUGGGACUACUGGAGUGGGUCACUACACUGGGCCAAUCUUUUUUUUUUGGUAGAGAAAGGAUCUCAUUCUGUUGAACAGGCUGGUCUCAAACUCCUAGCCUUAAGCAGUCUUCUUGCCUAGGCCUCCCAAAGUUCUAGGAUUAUAGGCAUGAGCCACCACACCUGACCCCAAAUAGUCCUGAUCUGCAAAAAAUGGUGAAGCUCACCUAUGCAGAACAUGUUGAUGCAGAGUUGGCCAUCUGUAUAUACUUAUUUCUAUGGCUGAGUCCU